CAUGGUCUCGUCAGCUUGUUGCUGUUUUUGGUCUGGAUAAAAGGUCUAAUUGAUGGGAGUGAUGUCACGCAGACACCAAUACUGUGGAAAGACAAAGGCAAAGAGAAAUUCUCAGCCACAAAACCUGAUGCUCAGAGUGGGACGUUGACAGUGAAGAAUCUGGUGCCAGAAGAUAAAGGCUUGU